rnacentral:tRNA from 1 species
GUAGAUAUAGUUUAAUACUAAAAUAAUGGUUUGUGGCACCAUUGAUUCAUUUAUGAUAUCUACC